ACUCAAAUGAAUUGACGGGGGCCCGCACAAGCGGCGGAGCAUGUGGAUUAAUUCGAUGCAACGCGAAGAACCUUACCUGGGUUUGACAUGUACAGGAAACAUCUAGAGAUAGGUGCCCCCUUGUGGUCUGUGCACAGGUGGUGCAUGGCUGUCGUCAGCUCGUGUCGUGAGAUGUUGGGUUAAGUCCCGCAACGAGCGCAACCCUCGUUCCAUGUUGCCAGCACGUAAUGGUGGGGACUCAUGGGAGACUGCCGGGGUCAACUCGGAGGAAGGUGGGGAUGACGUCAAGUCAUCAUGCCCCUUAUGUCCAGGGCUUCACACAUGCUACAAUGGCCGGUACAAUGGGCUGCUAAGCCGCGAGGUGGAGCGAAUCCCAUAAAGCCGGUCUCAGUUCGGAUCGGGGUCUGCAACUCGACCCCGUGAAGUCGGAGUCGCUAGUAAUCGCAGAUCAGCAACGCUGCGGUGAAUACGUUCCCGGGCCUUGUACACACCGCCCGU
rnacentral:rRNA from 1 species